GAUGAACGCUGGCGGCGUGCCUAAUACAUGCAAGUCGAGCGAACGGACGAGAAGCUUGCUUCUCUGAUGUUAGCGGCGGACGGGUGAGUAACACGUGGAUAACCUACCUAUAAGACUGGGAUAACUUCGGGAAACCGGAGCUAAUACCGGAUGAUAUUUUGAACCGCAUGGUUCAAAAGUGAAAGACGGUCUUGCUGUCACUUAUAGAUGGAUCCGCGCUGCAUUAGCUAGUUGGUAAGGUAACGGCUUACCAAGGCAACGAUGCAUAGCCGACCUGAGAGGCUGACGGGCGACACGGGGAGUGAGACACGCGCAAGAGGCGAACGUGAGGCAGCGGUACGGAACGUUGGUGAAUGAGGUAAAGUCUGGGCGAGAAUCGCUGAGUGAGUGAAGAAAGUUGUCGGAUCGUAGAGCUCGGUUGUAAGAGUAGAACGGGUGUGAGAGUGGAAAGGUCACACUGUGACGGGAUCUUACCAGAAAGGGACGGCUAAUUACGUG
rnacentral:rRNA from 1 species